rnacentral:tRNA from 1 species
GGGGAUGUAGCUUAGCCUGGUUGGAGCACCCGACUGAUAAUCGGGAGGCCGCCGGUUCGAAUCCGGCCUUCCCCA